rnacentral:misc_RNA from 1 species
GAAAGGACAUCCAAACCAAGACUGGGCCAGGAUUUGCAUGUGA